rnacentral:misc_RNA from 1 species
GUGAAUCAUCGAAUCUUUGAACGCACAUUGCGCCCUCUGGUAUUCCGGGGGGCAUGCCUGUUCGAGCGUCAUUACAACCCUCAAGCUCUGCUUGGUAUUGGGCCUCGCCGUCUGGCGGGCCUUAAAAUCAGUGGCGGUGCCGUCUGGCUCCAAGCGUAGUAAUACAUCUCGCUUUGGAGGCUGGCGUGUGCUUGCCAACAACCCCCAAUUUUUUCAGGUUGACCUCGGAUCAGGUAGGGAUACCCGCUGAACUUAAGCAUAUCAAUAAGCGGAGGA